AGUGAACGCUGGCGGUGGGCCUAACACAUGCAAGUCGAACGGCAGCACAGUAAGAGCUUGCUCUUACGGGUGGCGAGUGGCGGACGGGUGAGGAAUACAUCGGAAUCUACUUUUUCGUGGGGGAUAACGUAGGGAAACUUACGCUAAUACCGCAUACGACCUACGGGUGAAAGCAGGGGAUCUUCGGACCUUGCGCGAUUGAAUGAGCCGAUGUCGGAUUAGCUAGUUGGCGGGGUAAAGGCCCACCAAGGCGACGAUCCGCAGCUGGUCUGAGAGGAUGAUCAGCCACACUGGAACUGAGACACGGUCCAGACUCCUACGGGAGGCAGCAGUGGGGAAUAUUGGACAAUGGGCGCAAGCCUGAUCCAGCCAUACCGCGUGGGUGAAGAAGGCCUUCGGGUUGUAAAGCCCUUUUGUUGGGAAAGAAAAGCAGCAGGUUAAUACCCCGCUGUUCUGACGGUACCCAAAGAAUAAGCACCGGCUAACUUCGUG
rnacentral:rRNA from 1 species